rnacentral:rRNA from 1 species
GGCGUGGAGGAUGAAUGCCGUAAGGUUGUAAACUCCUGUGUAGAAGGGAAGAAAAAUCAGAUUUCGUAAGGGAUCUGACUUGACUGUACCUUCAGAGGAAACCCCGGCUAACUACGUGCCAGCAGCCGCGGUAAUACGUAGGGGGUUAGCGUUGUCCGGAUUUACUGGGUAUAAAGGGCGCGUAGGCGGGUUUGUAAGUCAGUGGUGAAAUCCUACAGCUUAACUGUAGAACUGCCUUUGAUACUGCAAAUCUUGAGUUCAGAAGAGAGAGAGUGGAAUUCCAGGGUGUAGUGGUGAAAUACGUAGAUAUCUGGAAGAACACCAGUGGCGAAGGCGAUCUCUUGGUCUGUAACUGACGCUGAGGCGCGAAAGCGUGGGUAGCAAACAGGAUUAGAUACCCUGGUAGUCCACGCUGUAAACGAUGAAUACUAGAUGUUGGUCUCUUUGGGAUCACGUGUCGCAGCAAACGCAUUAAGUAUUCCACCUGGGGAGUACGAUCGCAAGGUUG